GACAGAGGUGCCGAGCGUUAGGCGGAAUCACUGGGCUUAAAGCGUGUGUAGGCGGGUCGGUGAGUGCCUUGUGAAAUCCCCCGGCUCAACCGGGGAACCGCUGGGCAUACUGGCGACCUUGAGUCACCCAGGGGUCAGCGGAACAAACGGUGGAGCGGUGAAAUGCGUAGAUAUCGUUUGGAACGCCGACGGCGAAAGCAGCUGACUGGGGGUGAUCUGACGCUGAGACACGAAAGCCAGGGGAGCGAACGGG
rnacentral:rRNA from 1 species